AGCCGGAGUAGAAAAGAGAAGAGGAGGAAUUGGUCUGGGUUUUUUUUGAAUUCCCUGAUUUUGAUUUUUGAAUCUCGAGACUGAUCGGAGAGGUAUGACAAAUGAAAAUGGGGGUGGGCUGACAGCAUCAAGAACCAUCUUGUAAAGGAGGAGAUCCAGAAAAAGAAGUGGUGGAGUUUUGCAAAUCAUGUUUGUAUGUAAACAGAGAAGUUAUUUGUGAUGCAAGACUCAGGCUCAUCAUCAAUGAUGCCAGGUUUUCUUUGUCAGUAUAGUACAUACAUAUAUACUAAUCUCGAAUUCACUAACCUCUUAUGUGGUAAUGUUAUUGUCACUACUUCUUGAGGUGUUUUGCAGGGCUGAGCUAGAACACACAAAAUAUCACUAUGAUGUGAUCAUUGGCGAUCUUGCAGAUCCAAUAGAAGGAAGACCGUGUUAUAAACUCUACAUCAAACCUAGACUCACCAAAUAUGGCAUUUUUUCACAAAGGCUGGUCCUGCUGGAAUUUGCAGCCACAAAGAAGUAUUCUGUUGCAUAUAUCUAAUUCAACUUGCAUAUGUGGAAGAGGUUGGUGAUCUGUACGGGGCAGAAAUGGAGGAAUCAGGAAUGUAUAGAGUUUGAUAAUGGAAGAAUUAGGAAAGAGAAAUAUCUAAUGCAUACACCCUUGCCUAUCAGGGCAACAAGGAUGGUGAAGACUAUGGUGGAGGCUGAGAUUUAUAAGAUUUUGUAAAUUUCAUCAAUGAGAAACGUAGGACUGGCAGAGAUGCGGCCCGUACUUCCUAAGUUAGUACCAGUUUAAACCAAUGAACAUACCUCAUCAGUUUUUAUUAAUUAUUUUCUUUUAUGUAGGCUGAAAUAGUCUCAAGUUUGGACAAGUUAGUGAAAGAGUUUGUGAACUAGCUUUCAUAAUAUGUGCAAAGAUAACAUAUUCGGUUAAUAUUUUUUAG